GAGAGUAUAGUUCAGUGAUAGAGUGUGUGCUUAGCAUGCACAAGGUCCUGAGUUCAAUCCCCAGUACCUCCA
rfam:Camelus ferus unplaced genomic scaffold scaffold1622, whole genome shotgun sequence.